AAUCAAAGCAGUGACUGCCCUGCACUAACUGUGCAAGGAUCAAAAGCAUAUAGGUGUAGCAAUAAAUUCCCCUCUUAUGCUCAAGUUAAAUUUCUUCACUGAAGAUACGGUAGGAAGUUACGUUUUGAGUUUGAUUCUUUAAACUAUAGGCCAAUUUGCAUAUUAAUCUCUUUAUUUAUUUUCUUACUACAGUAGCACACUUGCCUAAAUCCCACAUAAGACUGAAUGGUACUCUGCCAUGGUGUUUAAUCUCAGUAAUUUGUCUUGUUUUAUUUUGUCCGCGGUGACUAUGGAUGUGUUCUCAGCUUUGCCGACAGUAAAAAGAAGGCAUACAAAACAUUAAAUUUUUGCCUUGGUUGAAUGCCGCAUUUAAUUGUCGCUUAUGUAUUCCAAGUUAUUCAAUUCUCAUUGAGCUUUCCUUUGCUAAAGAAAUUUAAUACGCAAUAUUUUUAAUAUGUGAGGAGGCGAGAGAAGAAAAGAGGGGUUGUUAGGUCAGACUUUGGUGCGUCUCUGGUCAGAAAUGGCUGGAUCCGUCCGACGCUCUUCCAAACAGUGUAGUGUAGAUUCGCUGACCAGUACAACAUCUAAACCUUCACUACUCUAGCUUCUUCUUACAUUUCUUAGUAUCAACAAAUAAGGUGGUCACAAUAUAUACUUGAAGAUUGCAUCCCGAGCCAGCUCGGGCCGCUGCUACCUCUUCCUCGCCGCCCAACAGGCCGCCGUGCUGGGGGAGCAGGGUAGCAUCGGGUCCACAGGCACUCUAAAGCCGAGUAAAAUCCUUGCAUUCGUAUUAUUCACUUUCAUUAUGCAAACUUCUCUUUCCAAGUUUGAGAGAACAAGAAGCCAGCGUCGAGGAAGCCUUGGGGUGUGAAAAGCAUAGUAACAAUAUAUCUGGGCUGCGACGUAUAUUGUUAUGAAACUUUACUGUAAUUACGAUUUCCUAUUAUAGCUCAUAUGACGAAUUAUUUGCUGCUUUUACAUUUGCUUAUUUUAUUAACUUUUACUAGGAUAUGAGUAGCAUUACUCAAAAUUUUGCUUUGAGAAGAAUCUAAUGAUGUAUCCAAUUUCACAUCCAAGCUACUAUGAAUAUUAUGAUUGAGCGACUGCUUGGCGAUGUCAUCGUCAGAGGCUCAGGCCUCCUCCCUGGACAAGGCACUCGUGCUAGGCGGCGGCGAUCUGUGCGCCGGUUCAAGAGGCGGUAAGACGGUCGCAAGAAUGCCAAGCUCUUCAGCUGUGGCAUCAUACAAUAAUGGAAUUGAGCAUUCUGGCCAAAACAUAAAGGACAACGAAUAUGCAAGGUUGGUGACACCAGCUGAACAUGCAACAGCUGACAAGAAAUUUUGCCUAAGCAACCAAAGUUAAGACACUUCAUUUGGUGAAUGAAAGAUUUGCUUGGAUGCUUCCAUCUUAUAUUAGCAUCUUAUAUCUUCGUGAAAUUUGGAGCCCCUUUGCCUUUGAAAAUGUGAGGCGUUGAUACUUCCUAUGCAAAAGAAAAUCUCUUGUUAGGGAUUUUUCCAUUUAACAUGUGCUUGUUCUAGGGUAGCGGUACUCUCUCUGCUGUGGCUGCGUGUUCGACCGGCCAGCCAAGGAUCUCCAACAAGCAUGUGCGCCUACUCUCCUUGCCCUUAAUUCCUACCACAACAGCAGCUCCUGUGUAGUGUGAGCCAGAGAACUACUACACUAAUCAUGUUCCUGGUAUUUUCUCACUCUUGCUUCACAGACGAUGUAUUGUAGUUAGUUCAAAGAAAUUCCAUUACAUAUUUUGCACAUUUCCUGAUUGGUGACCAUCCAUUUUAUAUGAUGUUCUUCACCUGCAAGCGUUGAGUGUUUUUUUCCUUUCAAGUUUUUGUCUCUUGCUCUAUUUCAUGAAAUACAUUCCUCUUCUCAUUCCAUCAUUUAGCCUUGUUGAUUACUUACGAUUAGUGAUUACAUGCAAUCAUCCGCCUUAAAUUAGAAUAGUUAAUUAGUUAUGCCAGGUUGCUACAUUUCUAUCUCCUUUUUGCCAAAAUAAAA